CUCCACCCCCUUCCCUUCCCGUCCGGUCUCCACCCUUGGAACCGCUGGAAUCCGCCGAAAAAUCGAAGAAAUCCGGCUGGUUUUGUGCGAAACUUCCCACCGUUCGAUCUCUCUCCUCCAGAUCCCGACGAGUGAGACAGUAAGCGUGAACCAGAGCACCACCACCGAGCAUUCGUCAUCACUCUUCCUUCUCUUCCCACUAUGUAGGAUUUAUUUUCGUUUCCACACUUAUUUGUAAU